rnacentral:rRNA from 1 species
UACGAAGGGAGCUAGCGUUGUUCGGAAUCACUGGGCGUAAAGCGCACGUAGGCGGAUGUGUCAGUCAGGGGUGAAAUCCCGGAGCUCAACUUCGGAACUGCCUUUGAUACAGCACGUCUUGAGUCCGGAAGAGGUGGGUGGAAUUCCUAGUGUAGAGGUGAAAAUUCGUAGAUAUUUAGGAAGAAACACCGGUGGGCGAAGGCGGCC